GACGAACGCUGGCGGCGCGCUUAACACAUGCCAGUCGAACGGAAAGGCCUGCUUUCCCUUGUGGAUUGCGGGUACUCGAGUGGCGAACGGGUGAGUAACACGUGAGUGAUCUGCCCCCAACUUGGGUAUAAGCCUGGGAAACUGGGUCUAAUUCCCGAUAGGACUGCAGGGUGGUGCCUGUGGUGGAAAACGAUUUUCUAGUGGUUGGGGAUGAGCUCGCGGCCUAUCAGCUUGUUGGUGGGGUAAUGGCCUACCAAGGCGGCGACGGGUAGCCGGCCUGGGAGGGUGAUCGGCGACAGUGAGACUGGGACACGGUCCAGGCUCCGACGGGGGGCAGAAGUAGGGAAGCGGCCGCGAGGGGCGAAGGCCUGAGGGAGCAACGCCGCGUGAGGGAUGAGGGUGUUCGGAUCGUAAAACUCGGUGAUUAGGGAAGAAGAAAAGUGUAAGUAACUAUGCACGUCUUGACGGUACCUAAACAGAAAGCAACGGCUAACUACGUG
rnacentral:rRNA from 1 species